ACUCCUACGGGAGGCAGCAGUGAGGAAUAUUGCUCAAUGGGCGAAAGCCUGAAGCAGCGACGCCGCGUGGACGAUGAAGGUCUUCGGAUCGUAAAGUCCUUUUCUGUGUGACGAGGAAGGACGGUAGCACAGGAAUAAGUGUCGGCUAACUACGUGCCAGCAGCCGCGGUAAU
rnacentral:rRNA from 1 species